UACAGAGGUCCCAAGCGUUGUUCGGAUUCACUGGGCGUAAAGGGUGCGCAGGUGGCCAAGUGUGUGAGGCGUGAAAGCCCGGGGCUUAACCCCGGAAUUGCGCCUCAAACUACUUGGCUAGAGCAUUGGAGAGGGGAGCAGAAUUCACGGUGUAGCAGUGAAAUGCGUAGAUAUCGUGAGGAAUACCAGAGGCGAAGGCGGCCUGCUGGGCAGUAGCUGACGCUGAGGCGCGACAGCGUGGGGAGCAAACAGG
rnacentral:rRNA from 1 species